UCGGGUUGUAAAGCACUUUUGUCCGGAAAGAAAACUUCGGCCCUAAUACGGCGGGAGGAUGGCGGUACCGGAAGAAUAAGCACCGGCUAACUACGUGCCAGCAGCGCGGUAAUCGUAGGGUGCGAGCGUUAAUCGGAAUUACUGGGCGUAAAGCGUGCGCAGGCGGUUCGUUAAGACAGAUGUGAAAUCCCCGGGCUUAACCUGGGAACUGCAUUUGUGACUGGCGAGCUAGAGUAUGGCAGAGGGGGGUAGAAUUCCACGCGUAGCAGUGAAAUGCGUAGAGAUGUGGAGGAAUACCGAUGGCGAAGGCAGCCCCCUGGGCCAAUACUGACGCUCAUGCACGAAAGCGUGGGGAGCAAACAGGAUUAGAUACCCUGGUAGUCCACGCCCUAAACGAUGUCAACUAGUUGUUGGGGAUUCAUUUCCUUAGUAACGUAGCUAACGCGUGAAGUUGACCGCCUGGGGAGUACGGUCGCAAGAUUAAAACUCAAAGGAAUUGACGGGGACCCGCACAAGCGGUGGAUGAUGUGGAUUAAUUCGAUGCAACGCGAAAAACCUUACCUACCCUUGACAUGGUCGGAACCCUGCUG
rnacentral:rRNA from 1 species